AGCGAACGCUGGCGGCAGGCCUAACACAUGCAAGUCGAACGAUCCUUCGGGAUAGUGGCGGACGGGUGAGUAACACGUGGGAACGUGCCCUUUGGUUCGGAACAACUCAGGGAAACUUGAGCUAAUACCGGAUGUGCCCUUCGGGGGAAAGAUUUAUCGCCAUUGGAGCGGCCCGCGUUGGAUUAGGUAGUUGGUGGGGUAAUGGCCCACCAAGCCUACGAUCCAUAGCUGGUCUGAGAGGAUGAUCAGCCACACUGGGACUGAGACACGGCCCAGACUCCUACGGGAGGCAGCAGUGGGGAAUCUUGCGCAAUGGGCGAAAGCCUGACGCAGCCAUGCCGCGUGAAUGAUGAAGGUCUUAGGAUUGUAAAAUUCUUUCACCGGGGACGAUAAUGACGGUACCCGGAGAAGAAGCCCCGGCUAACUUCGUGCCAGCCGCCGCCGUAAGAC
rnacentral:rRNA from 1 species